rnacentral:tRNA from 1 species
GUCCAGGGGCGGGAAUCGAACCCACACCCUUCUGCUUACCGGGCAGGUGCCAUGUCCACUCGGCUACCCUGGA